rnacentral:misc_RNA from 1 species
AAGUCGUAACAAGGUUUCCGUAGGUGAACCUGCGGAAGGAUCAUUAUUGAAUAAAAUUGAUGUGGGUUGUAGCUGGCUCUCUAGGGAGCAUGUGCACGCCCCGUCAUCUUUAUAUUUCCACCUGUGCACCUUUUGUAGACCCAGAAGGCUUGAGCAAUCGAGUCGUUUGGGCCUAUGUUUAUCAUAUACCCCAUAGUAUGUAUUAGAAUGUAUCAGUGGGCUUUGUGCCUAUAAACACUAUACAACUUUCAGCAACGGAUCUCUUGGCUCUC